AUAAUGCUUCUCUUGAGAGCGGCGGACGGGUGAGUAAUGCCUAGGAAUCUGCCUGGUAGUGGGGGAUAACGUUCGGAAACGGACGCUAAUACCGCAUACGUCCUACGGCAGAAAGCAGGGGACCUUCGGGCCUUGCGCUAUCAGAUGAGCCUAGGUCGGAUUAGCUAGUUGGUGAGGUAAUGGCUCACCAAGGCGACGAUCCGUAACUGGUCUGAGAGGAUGAUCAGUCACACUGGAACUGAGACACGGUCCAGACUCCUACGGGAGGCAGCAGUGGGGAAUAUUGGACAAUGGGCGAAAGCCUGAUCCAGCCAUGCCGCGUGUGUGAAGAAGGUCUUCGGAUUGUAAAGCACUUUAAGUUGGGAGGAAGGGCAGUUACCUAAUACGUGAUUGUUUUGACGUUACCGACAGAAUAAGCACCGGCUAACUCUGUGCCAGCAGCCGCGGUAAUACAGAGGGUGCAAGCGUUAAUCGGAAUUACUGAACGUAAAGCGCGCGUAGGUGGUUAGUUAAGUUGAAUGUGAAAUCCCCGGGCUCAACCUGGGAACUGCAUUCAAAACUGACUGACUAGAGUAUGGUAGAGGGUGGUGAAAUUUCCUGAGUAGGCGG
rnacentral:rRNA from 1 species